rnacentral:tRNA from 1 species
UCCCGUUUAGCUCAGUUGGUAGAGCAUGGUGCUUGCAACGCCAGGGGUGUGGAUGCGGUUCCCGCAGGGGAC